rnacentral:rRNA from 1 species
CCUACGGGUGGCAGCAGUGAGGAAUAUUGGUCAAUGGGCGCGAGCCUGAACCAGCCAAGUAGCGUGAAGGAUGACUGCCCUACGGGUUGUAAACUUCUUUUGUAAAGGAAUAAAGUGAGGCACGUGUGCCUUUUUGUAUGUACUUUAUGAAUAAGGAUCGGCUAACUCCGUGCCAGCAGCCGCGGUAAUACGGAGGAUCCGAGCGUUAUCCGGAUUUAUUGGGUUUAAAGGGAGCUUAGUUGGGUUGUUAAGUCAGGUGUGAAAGUUUGCGGCGCAACCGUAAAAUAGAAAUUGAUACUGGCAGUCUGGAGUACAGUUGAGGUAGGCGGAAUGCGUGGUGUAGCGGUGAAAUGCUUAGAUAUCACGAAGAACUCCGAUUGCGAAGGCAGCUUACUAAACUGACACUGACAUUGAUGCACGAAAGUGUGGGUAUCAAACAGGAUUAGAUACCCCAGUAGUC